AUUGAACGCUGGCGGCAUGCCUUACACAUGCAAGUCGAACGGCAGCACGGGUGCUUGCACCUGGUGGCGAGUGGCGAACGAGUGAGUAAUACAUCGGAACAUGUCCUGUAGUGGGGGAUAGCCCGGCGAAAGCCUGAUUAAUACCGCAUACGAUCUACGGAUGACAGCGGGGGACCUUCGGGCCUCGCGCUAUAGGGUUGGCCGAUGGCUGAUUAGCUAGUUGGUGGGGUAAAGGCCUACCAAGGCGACGAUCAGUAGCUGGUCUGAGAGGACGACCAGCCACACUGGGACUGAGACACGGCCCAGACUCCUACGGGAGGCAGCAGUGGGGAAUUUUGGACAAUGGGCGAAAGCCUGAUCCAGCAAUGCCGCGUGUGUGAAGAAGGCCUUCGGGUUGUAAAGCACUUUUGUCCGGAAAGAAAUCCUUGGCCCUAAUACGGUCGGGGGAUGACGGUACCGGAAGAAUAAGCACCGGCUAACUACGUG
rnacentral:rRNA from 1 species